rnacentral:lncRNA from 1 species
GUUUCAUCGUUCACGGAAAUUUUCAAUGAAAUGCUUCAAAGAGAUUUUGGUGUCCAUAUAUACAAAUCAUUACUGUCUCUUCCUGAGAAAGAGGAAAAAAAAGAAAAGGAUAAGAAAAGCAAAAAGAUGAGAGAAAAUAUUAAAAAAAAAGAAAGAUGAUGAAACUGAUGAGCCGAAACCCAAACGGAGAAAAUCAGAAAGAAGAUAAAAGAAAAGAUGAUUCUAAGGAUGACGAUGAAACUGAAGAAGACAGCAAUCAAGAUGAAUAUGACCCUAUGGAAGCAGAAGAAGCUGAAGAUGAAGAAGAUGGUAUGAUUGAAAUUUAUUUAUUAUUUCUUAGAGUUAAGAAUACAUUUUUUGUUCGGUGACAUAUCGCUGAAAUCUAUACAUUUAACAUUGUUUUUUCUUUAGAAUAGAAAGAGUAACAUACCCUCAGUGGGAAAAUUUUUCUAAUUUUUAGGUGAGAAGAUUGUUUUAAGACAUAUUUAUUACUAAUUAUCCUAUGUCUCAUAUAUAAUUAAUACUCUACUUGACAGAACAAAUUUCCUUGAAUAUGGUGCUUAAGCUGUGCCAUAAAAGGUAUAAUAGGACAGGCAUGGUGGCUCACACCUGUAAUCCUAGCACUUUGGGAGUAUGAGGCAAGUGGAUAAUUUGAGGUCAGGAGUUCAAGUACAGCCUUGCCAACAUGGUGAAACCCCAUUUCUACUAAAAAUACAAAAACUAGUCAGGGGGUAGUGGCACAUGCCCAUAAUCCCAGGUACUCUGGAGGCUGAGGCAGGAGAAUCACUUGAGCAUGGGAGGCCGACGUGGUUGUGGUGAGCCAAGAUCGUGCCAUUGCACUCCAGUCUGGGCAACAGAGUGAGACUCUGUCUCAAAGGAAAAAAAUGUAUGAUGGUCCCUGAUGUUUCAUGUAAUAAUUUCUUAUUUUUUUGUUGAGACUGAGUUCCUGCUCUAUUACCCAGGCUAGAGUACUGUGGCAUGCUCACAGCUCACUGCAGCCUUGAUCUGCCAGGCUCAGUAUGAUCCUCUCACCUCAGCCCUUGGAGGAACUGGGACUACUGGUGCUUGCCACCAUUCCCAGCUAAUUUUUAAUUUUUUUUUUUUCAGAUGGAGUCUCACUCUGUUGCCCAGGCUGGAGUGCAAUGGCAUUAUCUCGGCUCACCGCAACCUCUGCCUCCUGGGUUCAAAUGAUUAUCCUAACUCAGCCUCCUGAGUAGCUGGGAUUACAGGCAUGCAUCACCACACCUGGCUAAUUUUGUACUUUUAGUAGAGAUGGGGUUUCUCUGUGUUGGUCAGGCUGGUCUUGAACUCCCCACCUCAGGUGAUCCACCCACCUCGGACUCCCAAAGUGCUGGGGUUACAGGCAUGAGCCACUGUGCCAGGCCUAAUUUUAAAAUUUAUUAUAGGAAUGGGGUCUCACUUUGUUGCCCAGGCUGGUCUUGAAAUACUGAGUUCAAGGAAUCUGCCCACAUCAGUUUCCCAAAAUGUAGGGAUUAUAGGCAUGAGCUACAUGCCUGUCCUGAAUAUAUUCUUUAGAAAACUAAUUUGGGGCCAGGCAUGCUGGCUCAUGCUUUAAUCUCAGCAUUUUGGGAGGUCAAGGUAGGCGGAUCACCUGAGAUCAGGGGUUCGAGACCAGCCUGGCCAACAUGGCGAAACCCCAUCUCUACUAAAAAUACAAAAAAUUAGCCGGGCACGUGCCUGCAAUCCCAGCUACUGGGGAGGCUGAGGCAGGAGAAUGGCUUGAACUCAGGAGACAGAGGUUGCAGCCAGCCGAGAUCGUGCCAUUGCUCUCCAGCCAGGGCGACUGAGGGAGACUCCAUUUCAAAAAAAAAAAAAAAAAAAGAGAAACUAAUUUGGGCAUUUGCUUAACAAAGAUUAUCAUAAUGCAAAGGAGUACAUACAGAGUUUAAAGACUAAUGGUAAUAAACACUCGUAUACCUUUUGCCUAAGUUUUAUAAGACAGACUUUUGUACCAUGUGGUGACAUUUAAAAUACUAUACAGUAGAUGCUCUGACCAUAGACAUCAGCGAUUAAAUACCUAUAAAGGGACUCUGAAUACCUUACCUGUUCUUUUCCAGGUAGAUUUGUGGCUUUUAAAAAAAUCGUAUUUUUCUGAUAGAGAAAAUUAUAAGAGUUCUUUUAGUUUUUUUUUUUUUUUUUUUCAGUUUACGUCUCUGGCAAUUAUUUUUACCUACAGUAUUUUUUGUUUGCCUCUACAUUUUCUUCUCUCUACCGUAUCAUUUUUUAAUAUUGUUUGAUGAAAAAGUUAAAAAGAUCAAAAAGUUGAAAGGAUGGUGCAGUGAACACCUAUGUAUUCAUCAACUUUGAUUCAAUAAUUGUUAAUAUUUGUCUUGUUUUGUUUUUGUAACCCAAUUUAACAUAUGAAUUCUUCAAUUUGCCUAAGAAAAAAUGUGCUCUGAAAUAACCACAAUUCCCUAAUCACAUCUAAGAAAAUAAGGUCAUAACAGCAUCCAUUCAUACUAUCUAAUUUUUCCUCUUAUUUGUCUUUAAUAUAAUAACUCAGUAGCAAUGACAUAAUAUUCUUAUAGCAGUAUUUAUCUUCUUUACUUGCUUUACUUAGUAAAGACUUAAGCCCCUUUUACAGCCUCAUUUUCUCUCCCCUGUACACCCAGUAUUAUUUUAUUGUUGCUUUAGUUAAAUCAUUAAACAGUAUUCCCAUUAUUUUGUUAGUGUUUCAGCUGUCAGCCUUACUUUCUGUUUUUCUUUUCUUUCUUUCUUUUUUUUUUUUUUUUUUUUGAGAGAGUCUGGUUCUGCCCCAGACUGGAGUGCAGUGGCACGAUCUUGGCUCACUGCAACCUCUGCCUCCUGGGUUCAAGCGAUUUUCCUGCCUCAGCCUUGUGAGUAGCUAGGACUACAGAAGUGUGCCACCACACCCAACUAAUUUUUCUAUUUUGUUGUUUUGGUUUUUGGUUUGUUUGUUUGUUUGUUUGUUUUGAGAUGGAGUUUCACUCUGUUGCCCAGGCUGGAGUGCAGUGGCACGUUCUCAGCUCACUGCAGCCUCUGUCUCCCAGGUUCAAGCAAUUCUCAUGCCUCAGCCUCCCAAGUAGCUGGGAUUACAGGCAUAUGGCACCACACCCUUCUAAUUUUUGUAUUUAUAGUAGAGAUGGGAUUUUACCAUGUUGGCCAGGCUGGUCUUGAACUCCUGACAAGGUGAUCCGCCCACCUUUGUCUCCCAAAGUGCUAGGAUUACAGGCAUGCACCACCACGCCCAGCCUAAUUUUUGUAUUUUUAGUGGAGACUGGGUUUCACCAUGUUGGCCAGGAUAGUCUCGAUCUCCUGACCUCAUGAUUGACCCACCCCAGCCUCCUAACGUGCUGGGUUUAUAGUUUAUUUUUUCCUUUCACUCCCUUAAUGUUGAUUUCAUCCAUUCUUCUAGCUUUAAAUACUGUCUAUAUACUGUUAAUUCUCAGACUUCUGGUUUUCUUUCCUUAUUUUUUUUUUUAAGAGAUAGGGUUGGGAUGGACACAGUGGCUCACACCUGUAAUCUCAGCACUUUGGGAGGCCAAGGUGAGUGGAUCACCUGAGGUCAGGAGUUCGAGACCAGCCUGGCCAACAUAGUGAAACAUAGUGAAACCCCAUCUUUACUAAAAAUACAAAAAAUUAUCUGGGUGUGGUGGCAGACGCCUGUAAUCCCAGCUACUCAGAAGGCUGAGGCAGGAGAAUCACUUGAACCUAGGAGGCGGAGGUUACAGUGAGCUGAGAUCAUAUCAUUGCACUCCAGCCUGGGCAACAAGAGCAAAACUCUGUCUGUAAAAAAAAAAAAAAAAAAAAAAAAAGAUAGGGUCUGUCACACAGGCUGGAGUAUAGCAUUAUGGUCAUAGCUCACUUCAGCCUCAAACUUCCAGGCUCAAUCAAUCUUCUUCUCAGUCUCCUGAGUGGCUGAGACUACAGGUGCAUGCCACUGCACCCAG